AUUGAGUUAAGGUGGUAUGGGAGUCUAAAAUGAAAAUGAUAGAAUUUGUUCAUACUUUGCCAAAACGUUGUAUCUAUUGAUACAUGUUGAAAAAUAUAAUAAAAACGAUAGGUCACCGUGCAUUUUCUCAAGCUACAGGACGGGACAAAAUGACACAUUUUGUAUCGAUUAUACAGGAAAAAACAUCAUUUUGUGAUUAGAAACUAAACAAAAUGAUAGAAUUGUUAAAUACUUCAGGAAAAGAUAGCUUUCAGACACUGCUUUGAGAAUAUCAAAAGAAAAGAUAGGGUCACCGUACGUUUUUUCCGGCUAAAAUAUAAAAUAGGAAAAUUCCAUACAGAAUCCUUCAGAAAAUGCACUUUUUAAGAGUUACCUCCCCUUAAGAUGCCAAUUUAAAAAAAAAAAUAAAAACAAC
rnacentral:lncRNA from 1 species